rnacentral:tRNA from 1 species
UUCCCAGUGGUCCAGUGGUUAGGACUCAGCACUUCUACUGCUGUGGGCUUGAGUUCAAUCCGUGGUUGAGGAA